rnacentral:rRNA from 1 species
AUGGCAGGCUACCAUGGAGAGUGGCGAAAUUGCAGGCACAGCACAGAUCUAGAGGGAGCGAGCGUCAUUACGAUUCCUAAUUUUUGGCCGUGUCAGUCAUUAUUUUGCCAGAUCCGCAUCCAACCUGAGCUGUAUAAGGUCGACGACGGACAAGGAAAAAAGAGAUGCCGCUGCACACCAUCUCGCGAGAAGCUGCGCAAGGGUAUGGCUGCUUCCCUGUUCUUCCUGAGUCUCGUCGUCCCCUUGGCUCUUCUUCUUCUGCCGCUCUCGCGGUCGGUGACGGUGGUGACCCAUCUCCCCGGCUUCCAUGGCCGCCUUCCGUUCCACCUGGAGACCGGGUACGUCAACGUGGACGAGGAGACGGGAACGGAGCUCUUCUACUACUUCGUCAAGUCGGAGAGGAGCCCCGAUACGGACCCCGUCGUCCUGUGGCUGACGGGAGGGCCCGGCUGCUCUAGCUUGAUUUUCUACGAAGUUGGUCCUAUGAAAUUCGUGUUGGCGCCUUAUAAUGGUAGCUUGCCACAGGUGGCCUAUAAUCCCUAUUCAUGGUCCAAGACGGCAAGCAUCAUCUUAUUGGAUUCUCCAGUGGGUACGGGUUUCUCCUACGCACGUGAUGUGGAAGGUUAUCGUGAUGUUGGGGAUUUCUCGUUUUCUAUGCAUGUUGUAACAUUUCUCAACAAGUGGUUUAUCGAUCACCCACACUACCAAUCAAACCCUUUCUUUGUUGGAGGAAGUUCAUAUGCUGGAAUGAUGACUCCAUUUAUCGCACACCACAUUUCACAAGAAAUCGAACAUGGGAAGCAACCCAGGAUUAAUCUCAAGGGCUAUCUAGUCGGCAACCCUUUGACAGGCUCAGAUUAUGAUAGAAAUUUCAGAGCACAAUAUGCUCAUGGUGUUGGAAUUAUAUCUGAUCAAAUAUAUGAGGCUGCAGUGGGGAACUGUGAAGGAAGUUAUAUAAGACCAAGGAAUAAACCGUGUGACAUGGUGCUAAAUACUAUUGAAGAUCUCAUUUCUGAAAUUGACGAAGGAUAUAUCGUGGGUGUCAAAUGUGUAUGGGAUCUCUUAAGACAUAGAUUUAUGUUAGAAGAAAAUGCUCAGCUAAGCGAGCUGUCUCCUGAACAACCUACCAUCAAUUGUUUCGCAUACCGUUACUACCUAUCCAACAUUUGGGCGAAUGACAAUUCCACCAGAGACGCUCUUGGGGUGAAGCAUGGAACAAUUGGAGAGUUUAAGAGAUGCAGAAAAAGUAUGCCCUAUUCAUUUGAUCUCUUGAGCAGCAUAGAGUACCAUUUCAACCUCACAAUCAGGGGCUACCGUGCACUUGUGUUUAGCGGGGAUCAUGAUCUUGUGAUACCAUUUUUGGGAACACAUGCGUGGAUUAGAUCCUUCAACUUCUCAAUAGUCGAUGACUGGAGAGCAUGGCAUCUCGGUGGCCAGGCUGGAGGAUUUACAAUCACAUAUGCCAACCAUUUGACAUUUGCGACACUAAAGGGUGGUGGCCACUCAGCCAUAGAGUAUCGGCCUAGGGAAAGUCUUGCCAUGGCUCAACGUUGGUUGGAUAAUAAGCCGUUGUGA